rnacentral:rRNA from 1 species
CCUACGGGAGGCAGCAGUGGGGAAUAUUGGGCAAUGGGCGCAAGCCUGACCCAGCAACGCCGCGUGAAGGAAGAAGGCUUUCGGGUUGUAACCUUCUUUUCUCAGGGACGAAGCAAGUGACGGUACCUGAGGAAUAAGCCACGGCUAACUACGUGCCAGCAGCCGCGGUAAUACGUAGGUGGCAAGCGUUAUCCGGAUUUACUGGGUGUAACGGGCGUGUAGGCGGGGACGCAAGGCAGAUGUGAAAACCACGGGCUCAACCUGUGGCCUGCAUUUGAAACUGUGUUUCUUGAGUACUGGAGAGGCAGACGGAAUGCCUAGUGUAGCGGUGAAAUGCGUAGAUAUUAGGAGGAACACCAGUGGCGAAGGCGGUCUGCUGGACAGCAACUGACGCUGAGGCGCGAAAGCGUGGGGAGCAAACAGGAUUAGAUACCCUGGUAGUC